GAUGUGAGGACACAUAGAGCAUGCCAUCUAUGAGAAACGGGCUCUCAUCAGACACUGAAUCUGCUGGCACGUUGACCUUGGACUUUCCAGCCUCCAGAACUGUUCCCAUAGAAGAAAUGGUUUCCAGAAUGCAGAAGUGGUCCAUGAUGCCAGAUGUUGCAGAAAGAGCAAAUAAGGAGAAAAAGAAUCCUGCCCAGGAGGCCUCCCACCCCGACAUAGGAGGGCACCACCCACAUGGCAUCAGCCUGCAGCUGAUUUCAUAUUCCAUGCUCAUGACAUAGUACCUUAUAGGACAUGUCACAACUCACGCCUUCCCCUUAUCCGCCAUCGGGGAUAGAACAGAAAGACAUAAGCACCGGCAUGGGCCUAUUCCACAGCCAAGGCAGGCAAUGAGCUCUCAGGUACUUGCAACAAACUCGAGUGUGCAUUCGGUCCAGGAGGAAGAGCCCGCACCCUUUUUUGUUGCUGUUCAGUGUUAAUCCUUCGGUGGAACCCACCAGGACAGCAGUCUCAGUGCUGUUGUUUUUGACAGGGAGAACAUCCCAGGGCAGAAAGGAAAGCCUAAAGCUACAGCCUGUUCCUCUAGUUCUUAGAACAGCUGGUUACUGAGCUCUCAGGCCAGACACUGGAUCCCGGAGAGCUUGUCCACUGCAACAGUGCAACACGCUAAGGGCUGUGUGGCGGCACAGGGGCUCUGAGCUCCUGACCUGAGUCAUGGGGACCUGAAGGCUGACACCCAGCCCUAUACCUACAAGCUGGGUGAGACCCCUGGCAGUUGCCUACACCCCUGCUGAGACCCAGUACCUCCCUGUAAAAUGGGGGAAAUAAUGCCUGCCUCACAGGGUUUCGAUGAAGGGAAACAUUUGGAAACCCCUUGGAGGAGAUCUGCCACAUGGCCUCCAGUGAACUGUAGACUCCUGCAUAGCCUUCCAAAGUUCUUCAUUUGGUGAAUAUUAUGAGAAAUGACACCGAGGUGACUGGCACAUGGUCGAGGCAGCUGCUUAGGCAGCUUAAGCAUGCCCUGUGAAACAUCCCUGUGGGGGACUCCGACCAGCCCAGGCAACGCGGAUCCUGAGAACGCUCCCGGGUAGGCAUCUGCCCCUGUGGGAUGCCUCACCAGAGCAGUGUGUGGCAGGCCCCCGUGGAGGACCAACACAGUGGCUGAACACCGGGAAGGAACAGGAUCUUGGAGUCUGGACAUCUAAAACUUGCACAUGUACCACCCCUAGAAUUUCUGGUAAACCAGCACCAGCCUGAAGAUCACGUUCUCAUCAAACGGUGGAAAGAAGAAAAACUCGAGCCAACCUAGGAAGGACCCCACCUUGUGCUGCUAACCACCAAGACUGCUGUUUGUACAGAAAAAAAAAA
rnacentral:lncRNA from 1 species